rnacentral:rRNA from 1 species
UACAGAGACUGCAAGCGUUAUUCGGAUUCACUGGGCGUAAAGGGUGCGCAGGCGGCCAAGUGUGUGAGGCGUGAAAGCCCGAAGCUUAACUUCGGAAUUGCACCUCAAACUACAUGGCUAGAGCAUUGGAGAGGGUAGCGGAAUUCACGGUGUAGCAGUGAAAUGCGUAGAUAUCGUGAGGAACACCAGAGGCGAAGGCGGCUACCUGGACAAUUACUGACGCUCAGGCACGAAAGCGUGGGGAGCAAAAGGG